rnacentral:rRNA from 1 species
UACGGAGGGUGCAAGCGUUAUCCGGAUUUACUGGGGUUAAAGGGUGCGCAGGCGGAUAUGUAAGUCAGUGGUGAAAUCUCUAGGCUUAACCUGGAAAUUGCCGUUGAUACUAUAUAUCUUGAAUGCUGUGGAGGUAAGCGGAAUAUGUCAUGUAGCGGUGAAAUGCGUAGAUAUCGGAAGGAACAUCAGUGGCGAAAGCGGCUUCCUGGACCAGUACCGACGUUCAGGCACGAAAGCGUGGGGAGCAAACAGG